GUGCCAGCCGCCGCGGUAAUACGGAGGGUCCAAGCGUUGUCCGUAAUCACUGGGUGUAACGGGUGCGCAGGCGGGCGUGUAAGUCAGGGGUGAAAGCCACCGGCCUAACCGGUGAACUGCCCUUGAUACUGCACGUCUUGAGUCCCGGAGAGGCUAUCAGAAUUCGUGGUGUAGCGGUGAAAUGCGUAAAUAUCACGAGGAAUACCAGAAGCGUAGGCGGAUAGCUGGACGGGUACUGACGCUCAGGCACGAAAGCGUGGGGAGCGAACAGGAUUAGAUACCCUUGUAGUCC
rnacentral:rRNA from 1 species